AGUGAACGCUGGCGGUAGGCCUAACACAUGCAAGUCGAACGGCAGCACAGUAAGAGCUUGCUCUUACGGGUGGCGAGUGGCGGACGGGUGAGGAAUACAUCGGAAUCUACUUUUUCGUGGGGGAUAACGUAGGGAAACUUACGCUAAUACCGCAUACGACCUACGGGUGAAAGCAGGGGAUCUUCGGACCUUGCGCGAUUGAAUGAGCCGAUGUCGGAUUAGCUAGUUGGCGGGGUAAAGGCCCACCAAGGCGACGAUCCGUAGCUGGUCUGAGAGGAUGAUCAGCCACACUGGAACUGAGACACGGUCCAGACUCCUACGGGAGGCAGCAGUGGGGAAUAUUGGACAAUGGGCGCAAGCCUGAUCCAGCCAUACCGCGUGGGUGAAGAAGGCCUUCGGGUUGUAAAGCCCUUUUGUUGGGAAAGAAGAGCAGCAGGUUAAUACCCCGCUGUCCUGACGGUACCCAAAGAAUAAGCACCGGCUAACUUCGUG
rnacentral:rRNA from 1 species